rnacentral:rRNA from 1 species
AGCGAACGCUGGCGGCAGGCUUAACACAUGCAAGUCGAGCGGGCACUUCGGGGUCAGCGGCAGACGGGUGAGUAACACGUGGGAACGUACCCUUCGGUUCCGAAUAACGCUGUUUAACUAGCCCUAAUACCACAUACGCCCUUUUCGGGAAAGGCUUACUGCGGCAUGAUCGGCCCGCGUCUGAUUAGCUAGUUGGUGGGGUACUGGCAUACCAACGCGACGAUCAUUAGCUGGUCUGAGAGCAUGAUCAGCAACAAUAGGACUGCGACACGGACCAGACCCCUACGGGAGACAGGAGUGGGGAAUAUUGGACAAUGGGCGCAAGUCUGAUCAAGCCAUGUCGGGUGAGUGAUGCAGGCCUUAGGGUUGUAAAGCUCUUUUGUCCGGGACGAGAAUGACGGUAACGGAAGAAUAAGCACCGGCUAACUUCGUG